rnacentral:rRNA from 1 species
UCUCGAGCUGCGCCAGGAUAGGUCGAAUUUUCUCAUUUUCCGCCAGCAGUCCACUUCGAUUUAAUUCGUAAACAAGCAGUAGUAAUUCCUGCUUUAUCAAGAUAAUUUUUCGACUCAUCAGAAAUAUCCGAAAGUGUUAACUUCUGCGUCAUGGAAGCGAUAAAACUCUGCAGGUUGGAUACGCCAAUCAUUUUUAUCGAAGCGCGCAUAAAUUUGAGCAGAUUU